rnacentral:rRNA from 1 species
CUUUGAGAGAGAGUUCAUGAGGGCGUGAACCGCUGAGAAGGAAACGGAUAGAGUUGACGAAACCUGGUGGCAUUCAGCCGGGCGACGAUGCGGUACCCGCGUCUGUGUACCUCGUCUGAGGGCACAGAUGUGUGCUUGUUGGCUGCAUUCGUUUUCCUGCCCGGUGCAUUUGCCAUCGGUAUGCGCCGAGAAGUUCGCUGUGGUGCGCUGAAGCUCGCUGGAGAGGACCGUGCCCUCUGGGUGCGGAAACCGUUCGGCGGUGCCCAGGUGUAUCCGUGGUGAGCCUGCCGUAUGCAGACACUGCCCUGCUGUGUGCGCAACUCCCACCUGUCUGGUUGGUGUGGCUAUUUGAGCGGUCGCAUGCGACUUGCUUAUAGCUCCGAUGCUGGCCGAUAUGGUGUGGUUCGGUUGCUUAGGGUGUGUGCGUCUCGGUGUAAAAGUCGACCACCUAUCCGACCCGUCUUGAAACACGGACCAAGGAGUUUAGCAUAUGCGCGAGUCAUUGGGUGGUAAACCUAAAGGCGCAAUGAAAGUAAAGGUCACCGUUCCUGGGUGGCUGAUAUGGGAUCCGUACGGUUGCCGUCAAACAACAAUCCGUGCGGCGCACCAUAGCCCCAUCCCAGUUGCUUGCAACGGGGUGGAGGUAGAGCGCAUACGCUGAGACCCGAAAGAUGGUGAACUAUGCCUGAGCAGGAUGAAGCCAGAGGAAACUCUGGUGGAGGUCCGAAGCGGUUCUGACGUGCAAAUCGAU